CCCGAGACGCCGGCGGGACGCGGGGCGGCGGGACCCCGGGCCUUACCUUUGUGCUUCCGGAAGCAGGUCACGGAGCAGCUGCAACAGAGCAGAUCACGCAGACGACGGUGCUGCAAUUGAGCGACGCCAUGGUCCCGGCGACAACUAGCCGAGUCGCCCGCGCCGGGCUUGCGCGCCGGCCGCACGUGCACGCCCUCUGCCCGUUUCCUGAGCCAGAGCCAAUCAGCGCGCAGCAGUCACUGGCAGGCAAAAGCAAUGGAUGGAUCCUGCUCGUUCUUUAAGGCCUGAUAAGGAGAAAGUCGAUAUACUCGAGGAACAUCAAGCCGCUGCCUAUGAGGAUGGUAGUGGAAAGGCUGAGAAGAAACCUGCAGUCAAGAAGGCUGAUGCUAAGGGCCUCCCCGGUGGCACAGCGCUGGGUUGGGAAGCUGCCCGCAGCCUCUGCAGCGACGGUUCCAUCCUCGGCUGCUCCCCGGCCACCAGGGGAGGGUCCCACAUGGCGCGCAGACCUCUCCUGCUGCCCGCUGCUCCCCUCAGCAGUGUACUUCGGUCCUU